rnacentral:rRNA from 1 species
GGCUUAGAGUUUGAUCAUGGCUCAGGACGAACGCUGGCGGCGCGCCUAACACAUGCAAGUCGAACGGGGCUUACAUUUUGAAGUUUUCGGAUGGACGAAUGUAAGCUUAGUGGCGGACGGGUGAGUAACACGUGAGCAACCUGCCUUUCAGAGGGGGAUAACAGCCGGAAACGGCUGCUAAUACCGCAUAAUGUUGCGGGGGCACAUGCCCCUGCAACCAAAGGAGCAAUCCGCUGAAAGAUGGGCUCGCGUCCGAUUAGCCAGUUGGCGGGGUAACGGCCCACCAAAGCGACGAUCGGUAGCCGGACUGAGAGGUUGAACGGCCACAUUGGGACUGAGACACGGCCCAGACUCCUACGGGAGGCAGCAGUGGGGGAUAUUGCACAAUGGGCGAAAGCCUGAUGCAGCGACGCCGCGUGAGGGAAGACGGUCUUCGGAUUGUAAACCUCUGUCUUAGGGGAAGAAAAUGACGGUACCCAAAGAGGAAGCUCCGGCUAACUACGUGCCAGCAGCCGCGGUAAUACGUAGGGAGCAAGCGUUGUCCGGAAUUACUGGGUGUAAAGGGAGCGUAGGCGGGAUGGCAAGUAGAAUGUUAAAUCCAUCGGCUCAACCGGUGGCUGCGUUCUAAACUGCCGUUCUUGAGUGAAGUAGAGGCAGGCG